rnacentral:piRNA from 1 species
UUGACAUUAAGAUUGGAGGGUA